UUAAGGUAGCGCCGCGCCGCCCGGCGCCCCGCGGUCCUAGCGCCCGCCGCGCCCUGCACCGGCUCUGCGGCAGGCCGGGCGCAGCGCGGCGGAGCGCGCAACUUCCUGGGAAGAGGGACGAGGCGCCCCGGCUUCCGAAAGAGAGGCUGAGGCCAGAGGCGCUGCCAGAGGCGAGAGCCUCUGAGACUCCCAGUUCGCCCGAGGAAUAAAAGAGGAUCACCUCGAACCUAGCUCGCUGCACGGUGCGGGUUCAGAGUGAAACUGGAAACUGGUUUUCACGUGGAAUCCGUGAUUUGCAUUGCAUUACGCAGUACGAGUGGAGAGAGUUGAGGGGAAGGAGAGGUUUGAUGGGUUUGAGUGAGCACAGCAGUUUCUCUUUCAUUCUCCAGCAAACACACAGAAGCGCCAACUGUAUUCCAGAAAUGCCCCGACUCGCGGGUCAAGAUGGAGAAAGUUGCUGAGACAGGAGCAGCGCGUACGAGUCCGAAGCGGAGUCCAAAGCAAAGACAAGACCCCUGCUGGGCAGAAGCGAACCGGAGCCUUUUUACCAGGCAGAAAGUCAGCGCUGCCCACGACUCAGCUAAAGGCUGGAGGGGAAGGUCUGGAGCUGGCCCCUAUUCCGGACGGGAGGGUUUCGCCGGAAGAUGAAGGGAGCAAUGAAUUUGCAGAUUUCAGGGGCGCAGGAGGUGCCGGCGACCUGGAGUGACCUUCCUCUGUCCUCCGGAGCGCAGGGCGCACUCCGCAACGGCGUGGAGGAAGAAGAGGGGCCUGGUGGUCCUCCCCCUCCUUCCACUCCCUCAGCCCUCUGCUGCAGUCCAGGCCCAUUGGGUGUCCAGGGACCAGCUCGGUGCGUCUGGCUCACGAGUUUCUGGAGGAGGGCCCUGCCCCGUGGUUUUUACUGCAGUCACCUCCGCGGUGGAACAGAGCCAGCUUUCACGUUAACUGCCCGGUGACAGAUAAAAGAAGCAGGGGGAGGAAGUGCCGCUUCUCAUAAACCGCUAGAGUGGCUCUCAUUAAUCACCGAGGUGGCCCGCAGCGCUCGGUGAAACGAGGGCGUUACCGACCAUUUGGUACAAUGCACCAGGCUGGGUUACUUUAAAAAAAAAAAAAAAAAAAAAAAACUGAUGGAAGACUGGCAGAAAGUGAGGCCGAGAUGGAGACUGGGAACGGUUGGUAAGGGGAGCAGCACGUGGACACUGCCACUGGAGACGGGGCUGGGACUGUUUCCACCAGCUGUCUCCAACCACAUUCUUUAGGUAUGAAUUUAGACUGUCAUCCAAUGAGCAAAGACCGUGGCUGCUUCCGAAUCCUGAAUCCUGCAGCGCAGUGACUGUCACCUUAAAAGCUAUGCAGCCGGGAGAGGAGGGCAAAGGCGCUGAUGGAGCACUUUUCCGGGUAGAGAAGCAGCCUCCUCAUUCGGGCUGCUUUCUUCCACUGCAGCUGGGUUAGUCCUUGUGUAAUCUGCACCCCCAGUUCCAACUGCUAGCAACCUGGCCUGGCCCAGUCCUUUCUCCGUGGACCAAAUCGCCUUUCUACAGCACUCGCCCCACUCUGAGACUCACCUCCGCACCUUCCUUCACAGCCUGCCAGGACCACGAAGUCCUCACCUGAUUUGGUGCUCCCAGGCUCAAAGAAGCCUGUGGCCUUGCUUUCUGGAUUCAUGUAGUAUAGUGGGCUGAGUAACACCUACUGCAGAAGACAGAUGGUAGAAAUAAAAGAAACAGUGCACACUA